UACGGGGGGUGCGAGCGUUGUCCGGAAUCACUGGGCGUAAAGGGCGCGUAGGUGGCCUGAUAAGGGUGUGGUGAAAGUCCGGGGCUCAACCCCGGAUCUGCCGUGCCGACUGUUAGGCUAGAGUACUGUAGGGGCAGGCGGAAUUCCCGGUGUAGCGGUGAAAUGCGCCAGAUAUCGGGAAGAACACCCGGUGGCGAAGGCGGCACUCUGGGACGGUACUGACGCGUGAGACGCGAAAGCGUGGGGAGCGAACGAGG
rnacentral:rRNA from 1 species